rnacentral:rRNA from 1 species
AACGAACGUUGGCGGCGUGGAUUAGGCAUGCAAGUCGAACGAGAAAGGGGGCUUCGGCCCCUGAGUAGAGUGGCGAACGGGUGAGUAACGCGUGGGGAACCUGCCCUGGAGCGGGGAAUAACACUCCCAACGGAGUGCUAAUACCGCAUGAAAUCGUCGGGUGGCAUCAUCUGGCGAUCAAAGAUGGGGACCGAAAGGCCUGUCACUUCAGGAUGGCCCCGCGUCCGAUUAGCUUGUUGGUAGGGUAACGGCCUACCAAGGCGACGAUCGGUAGCUGGUCUGAGAGGAUGGUCAGCCACACUGGGACUGAGAUACGGCCCAGACUCCUACGGGAGGCAGCAGUCGAGAGGCUUCGGCAAUGGGCGAAAGCCUGACCGAGCGACGCCGCGUGAGCGAUGAAGCCCUUCGGGGUGUAAAGCUCUUUUGUGAGGGAAGAAACGCAGCGACCUAAUACGUCGUUGUCUGGCGGUACUUCACGAAUAAGCUCCGGCUAACUCCGUGCCAGC